GAAAGAAGUUAGGGAUGAGAAACAACAUAGCUCCAAGUUUAAUACAACUUUGAUGUAUUAUCAAAGGAAACAAAUAUUUAAAAUGUUCUAUUUGUUCUUUCAAUAAAUUCAUGCUAUAUAUACUCCAUGGUUAUGUUGCUGAAAAUGUUCUUAUUCCCCCUCCCACCCCACCUCCUCACUCCCCUUGCCCUUUCCUUUUUAGGAUUUGUUUGGAUGAGGGUCAAGGAGGGGUAAAUAAAUGUAAAGAGGAGUAAAUGAGU
rnacentral:misc_RNA from 1 species